rnacentral:lncRNA from 1 species
AUGAUCGGGUGUCAGAUCGGAAAAUCGGAAGCAGGGAUCGUCAUCAGCGCGUCGUUGUGAGUCCGAUGGUGUGUUCGGAUCGUCGAUCGGACUUCGGCGGCUGGAGGCGUGUCGACCGAGCGAUCGAGCGUCUCGGUAAUUUUCUUUGGCCUGUUAAUUUUAAAAAUUCUUGGUUUAAUUGUGUCUAUUGGGUUAUAUUGAGUAUUUGAUGAUUUUGUGAGUCAUAAAUAAUUGUCUGUCAGUUGCCUGCCUUGUGUUUUGUGCUGUGUGGCGGAGUCGGGAAAUAGUGAAGUUUGGGGACCCGACUCCCGUUGUUUUAAUUGUAAGUAUUUGAAGUGUUUUUCUGGCAGGUCCUGGACCCGUCUUUACGGGGGGUAAUGUUCGUGUUGUAGGGGAGGUUCUGCCGGAUUUUCGGUAGAAUUCUCCCGAGUCGAGAUUCUUAGACAGUCAGUCCUAGGAAUCUAGACCUAGGAUCUAUUGUAAUUGUUUCAUCGUUUUGAUAAAUUGUUUUCCGUGAUUAGAUGAUCUGUCUGUUCGGCUCGCUCCUACCGAGGCCCCUAAGCUGAGCUAGGAGGUCGCCUAAUUCUGUGAGUUAAAGUCAUAUAUCGUUUACGCACGUGUCAUGCAUAAAAUUUGAUUUGCUACUGUGAAUAUUUAUUUGCAAUUUCAAUUUUUCAUUCAAUUAUUAUUAUUAUCAUUUGAAUGAUGCUUUUAAUUACUAUUUAAAUAUGUUUUUCCUUUAUUACCAAUUUUAAUAUUGCAUGAUGACUCAGGAUGGGACGGCAGUAGAACAUAGGAGUUGGAUGAGUGUCCAAUAUAAUAUGAGAGAGAUAAGAAAAGGGUAAAGAGGUAAAAAUUUUAAGAAAGAAAGAUUAGGACCUGCCCUGGUCGAGCAUCGCUCUCUGGGCUUAGUAGAGUGUGGUUGCCGGAGUAAAGGUCCCUGGUCGAGCAUUGCUCUCGGGGCGCCGGCUUAUUUGGAUAUUUAAGUGACCAGACUGGAGGUAAGGUCCCUGGUCGAGCUUUGCUCUCGGGGCGCCAGUCUUAUUGGAUUAAGAGAGUUGAAUGGCUACUAGAUUUCUUAUUUGGAUACUUAAGUGACCAGACUGGAGGUAAGGUCCCUGGUCGAGCUUUGCUCUCGGGGCGCCAGUCUUAUUGGAUAAGAGAGCCAAAAGGCUAAGGCUGAGAGUUAAGUGACCGGACUGGAGGUAAGGUCCCUGGUCGAGCUUUGCUCUCUGGGCGCCAGUCCUGUUGGAAUGAGAGGUUUGAGAUGAUAGAGUUGAGGUUAGUUGAGACAUAAGUGUUGAAAUAAUCGAGAUUUUAGAGUUGGGAUUAGAGUUCUACUGAAGUACUCUGUCCCGUUGCAUGUGGAAUAAAUUUUGUUUAAGCAUGGCAUGACACAUAUGUUUUAACAUGACACGUAUGGUUCGCGUGAUUUAUUAAUUAUUUUAAAAUUAAAUGAAUGUGACAUUGAGAUAUUUGAAACUGUUUUAGAUGUAUGAUUUUAACUCACUCUCGAGACUGAAAGUCUCCAUUUAUUGUUUUUCAGAUUCGUGACUGUUAGUUCUCUCGCGACUCUUAUUCAGUAACCCGACUCCUUCAUCAUCGGGUGAAGUAUUUGAUUUGGUAUGUAAAAUGGUAAAUCUUAGAUUCUCCGCAGUA